UCCAUAUUCCUUAAUUUGUAUUAUAAAGACGUGCAUCUGUACUGUACAUUCCCCCAUAUCGUCUGCCUCACAGCCAAUGUGUGAUAUGGCCACUCCUACGAUAAAGGAACUGCUUGAGCCUUGGUAAAGAGCAGAAGUGUCGAGCCUUCCGCUCCACCAACUAACUCCAUUCAGUCAUCACCAAGUUCUUCUACGUCCUACGUAGUAAGACUUACGUUGUAUAAUGACUAUUGACGAAUUCAAGCUAAUGUAAGAAGUCCAGCAAAAAGCCUACAAAGAGGAAACAGGUUUUAUGAUUUGAACAAUCGUAUGAGACAACAGGAAUUAAGAAACAUGGAGCUGGCACACUCGUUUGAAUUAACGCGGGCAACCUCAAACAAGAAAACAAGGCUUUGGAAGAGGAAGUGAAGAUCUUGAAAACAAGAGCAUCCAGGAGUGACGAUGUGGCAGAUAAGCUGGAAAAUUAAAAGAUCGCAUGGACUAUCAAGAUUAUUCAAGGUGGAACAACCUGCGCUUCGACGGUCUCGAAGAAAAGGCAAAUGAAACCUGGGAAGAAACUCAGGAAAAGGUUCAGUGAGUGCUUCGAGACAAGCUCAACAUGGGAUCUGCGCUGCUCGAGAGGGCUCAAAGGGAUUUCCUCUCACGAAACACCUCAUCCCCGCACGAUUGUCGUCCAAUUCAACAAUUUUGCUGAUCGACAACAAGCCCUUCGUAACUCUACAAGACUUAAAAAUACCAAUAUAUACCUCUCUGAAGAUUUGUGUGAGGCUUCGGUGCAAGCAAGGAAGGAACAACUAGCUGCGUUGAAGAAGGUAAGGACAAAAGAGAAGAUUAUUUUUCUGCCACAUACGGGGCCUGCCGCUGCUGCCAUUGCUGGUUCUGCUGUCGCUGCCGUCACUACACCUACUCUCUCUGCUCCUGCCACUCCUACCCACCACGCUGGUAUGGCAGGAGGCGUGGUGUCGUGACCCCAACCAUAAGAAACACCAGAUCGAAACAUGGCAAAUUGACUAAUAAUGGAGGAUAUAAGGAAACAAGAGAAUCAGGGCAAGGUUUAAGACAAGUAUCACCACGCUCACCAAGGAUCUGGAAAUGUUUGUUCAUGUCACUAACACGCAUGAUAUAGAAAGCAAGGUAAAUCGACUAUCAUCCAAAACAUCCUAGAGAAAAAUCAACAAUACAUGAACAGAUGCAUCAAACAUGCUUACAGGAAGAAAUGGUAGAGGAUUACAUGUAUGAAGAAGUAAACGCGAUCAUUUCUAAAUUAAAGGUCAGUCAGGGUCGAAUUCUGGGUUAUAUAUGAAUGUUUCAUUCAUCAAAACAGAAAUUUAACAUAUAUUCAGAAGCUCUUCUACCUUAUGGGCCAGCUGGAGGGAGAGGCAACGCAACUUGUAUCGUGUUUUAAACUCGAAACCUCAACCUAUGAACCAGCCAUCCAACUAAAUGACAAUUAUGGCAGGGAAGAUAGGCUCAAGUAUGCCCUGGUGAUCGAACUAACUAGUCUCCAAAAAUGUAAUCAUGAUAUCACUAGCCUUAAGCAAUUUAUAGCAAAAUAUGAAAGCCCAUAUAGAUCAGUAGUGAAGAAAUGUGUUCCACAUUCCUUAUAAAUUAUCUUGCAGACCCUAUAAAAGAAAUUAUAAAAAAAGGUGAUGAAAGAAAACCUAUUGGACAAAGAAGAAACUUCAAAUUGAGAAAUGAAAUAUUUACUCAAAAAAGUAAUCCAUCUAUUGUUGUGAAGAAAGUAGAACAUCAUACAGUAGUUUCAAUAUCGGUAAAAAUAGGGAAUAGCCUAAAUUUAAAUGUGAACUGUGCCAGAAACAAAAAAUUUUUCAUGGUUUAAGUUUCGCCAAUAUUUAAAUUCUGACUCAAAAGUAAACUCAGCAAUUAAGGUUACGCAGUGGAUGUUUAGAACCUUGACACGGUAGAAAUGGCUGUACAAACCCCAACAUUAAAAAUUACAAGUUCUGUGAGAAAAAAAAAACACUACCAUGCCCUGUGUAAAAAAUAAAACAAGCAACAAAACAGAGUGAAAGCCAAGCCGAGAGAAGCAAGUAUAUUAACCUUAACUUCCAGGGAAAGAACUAUCUUACUAAUGUUACUCCUCAUAGUCAUGAGACAAUUAGACAAUAGCAAUUAAAAAAAAUAGCAAUACCAUCCAAAUAAUAACAACCCCAUGAAAUAAAUUAUAUAGCCUAAAGGAACGGUCAUGAAUAUAAAAAAUUUAUUUUCUUCUUGGUUAUGUAAACAAAAUUUGAUGUAUACUUUUGAAGUCAGUAAAACUUUAGAACAAGAAAAUUAAAUUAAAUUGCAAGCUACAAAUCGUUAAAUUAAAUGCUGAUAUUUGGGGAUGGAGCGGAGUAAUAUCCCUUGUUUACAAGGCGACUGGAAAAUAACCAUAUUCCUGGAUUCUCCUGGGCCAGUCGCAUGAAAAAUCCCAAUCACAAAACCUUGUAGAUUAAGAGAAAAUAUGCCAGAACUGAUGAUAAUAUGUAUUUUUAGCGAAAUUCUUUGUUAAUACUUAGAUCCAAAAAUUAUUAAUAGUAUUAGAAUCCAGGAGUACGUGGGACCAUCAGCAAAAAUGUUCAAGAAUGAUUUAUGAAUGUAGAGGGGGUCUAAACUAUUAAGGAUAUUGCAAAAUUAUGUCUUUUAGUACAGGCGGAGGACUAGUUUUUUUAGGGGGUAAGGCGGCCGCUAUAAAACUUGUGUGCUAGUUUCCGGCGUCAAGGCCCACAUCACCUCGACUUGUCAAGGUGACAAUCAACAACAUUUCCAGCGUCAGAACCUGACUGACAUCGUUGUCCACAGGUACGUUCGUCAGGAUUGUUUAAAAGUGGUUCAUAUGAAAAUAACCAUUUUUGUAUCUGUAUGUAUUAAUCAUAUGUGUGAGCCUAAUUGACAUCGUUGUCCAGAGAGAAGCAUGUAAAACUCCUUUUGCCAGUUCUUUUUUUUUUUUUUUAUGAGAGAGAGAGAGAGAGAGAGAGAGAGAGAGAGAGAGAGAGAGAGAGAGAGAGAGAGA